GCCUGGCUAGCUCAGUCGGUAGAGCAUGAGACUCUUAAUCUCAGGGUCGUGGGUUUGAGCCCCAUGUUGGGGG
rnacentral:tRNA from 1 species